UGCAAUUAAAAGUAAGUUACAACGAGAGAUACAUCUAGUGUUAACAGAGCAAGACAGAAGUUUGUUAAUGAAUCAGUGUUGGUAACAAUGUUUACUGAUUUUUAAAGGUCAACAAAAAGUGCGAUUAUGUUUCUCCGAAACGACAAAAUAUCUUCUUUUACUACAAAAGUUCGAGAAGAUUAAUGAACACGAAGAAAUGUUUGCGAUUAUAAAAAUUUUUCAGUUAUUUUGUAUUUUCCUCGCACUUUUUCUAUUGUUUGAAGAGUGCAAAAGUGGCACAAUUAAAAAUCAAACCGCAAAAGUAAAUACAACCCGAGUAAACUUACGUUUCUUCAAAGCUUUUGUUGUGCCUUGCCAGCAGCCGUACAUUAUGAUUGAAAACAAAUGUGUUGAUACUUGGAUUGACGAGGAUGAAGAAUAAAUAAAUAAAUAACAUCCGUUUUGUAUGCCUAUUUUAAUUUACUUGAGAAUUUUGAAGCGCUUGUUUUAUUCCCGGCCCUUCCGAAGUAAUCAUCUUGUUUUCCCUCUCUACACAUUUUCCAAACAAGUAGAACAAGUAGUGUGGAUUCAGGUGUGUUUAUAGAUAAAAUCACAUCAAGUUUGUUUGAAGCUAAACAAGGCGUUAGAUGUGGUUUACAGAGGAUCUGAGGAAACAUACCAAAACAUCAUCAACAUCAACAAAUUGAUUUCUGUUUUGUACUUAAAAGGUUUUUCCAGAAAAUUUCUAAACACUUUCGCAACACUGAUAAGUUCGACGGUCAUUUGUAUCACUAACAGUUCACGUUUCGUAUUCGAGUUUAAUAUCGUCAUGCACUUAUUUUUACUUUUUUUGUUUGUCGGCGUGAGUUGUUUUCCAAAUAAUUCCGUGAAGGAGAUAUUAUGCAGUUCUUGUCAGGCCGACAAUAAAAAUUUAGACGUUAUCUAUUUUCCCGAUCAAACUGAAAGCAGCGUUGGAGGCAAAGAAACGAAAAAUCAGAGUGAUAUUUUAGUUCACGAGAGACACAUUGUGAGAAUGCGGGGAAACUGCAACCCCGGAGAAAGAGUGGACAGAGCUGGACGAUGCAGAGAAUCUUAUAAAUAAUAAAUUAGUGCAAAGAAAUAGAAUACAAAUUAUUUUAAAACUGUUA